rnacentral:rRNA from 1 species
GAUGAACGCUGGCGGCGUGCCUAAUACAUGCAAGUCGAGCGAACAGAUGAGGAGCUUGCUCCUCUGACGUUAGCGGCGGACGGGUGAGUAACACGUGGAUAACCUACCUAUAAGACUGGGAUAACUUCGGGAAACCGGGGCUAAUACCGGAUAAUAUAUUGAACCGCAUGGUUCAAUAGUGAAAGACGGUUUUGCUGUCACUUAUAGAUGGAUCCGCGCCGCAUUAGCUAGUUGGUAAGGUAACGGCUUACCAAGGCAACGAUGCGUAGCCGACCUGAGAGGGUGAUCGGACACACGGGAACUGAGACAGGGUCCAGACUCCGACGGGAGGCCGCAGUAGGGAAUCUUCCGCAAUGGGCGAAAGCCGGACGGAGCAACGCCGCGUGAGUGAUGAAGGUCCUCGGAUCGUAAAACUCUGUUAUUAGGGAAGAACAAAUGUGUAAGUAACUAUGCACGUCUUGACGGUACCUAAUCAGAAAGCCACGGCUAACUACGUG